CCGAAGCGUGAAGCCGGAUCCCGCUAUGCUUGUGGCGAACAACGACACUAUGCUGUGGAGUAUAACAAAUACAAGAAGCCAAAGGAUAAGUUCAACGUUUAGUCGACUCAGGAAGCCCAGUUAGCCUGAUUAAGCAAAUGAUAUUACCAGCAGGAGUAAAGUUAGAAACGGUCGAAGAAGUAUUUUACGGGUUGAAUAAGUCCCCUUUGAAUAUAAUUGGAAAAUUGAAGUGUAACAUAUAAGUGUUGAAUAAAUAUGUUUUAGUUGAA